ensembl:snoRNA small Cajal body-specific RNA 20
GGCCUCUUGUCCAUGGGGCUGCAUGGAGUUUCUUUCUCCUCAGCUAGGGCUGGAAGCCAAGAUCAACCCUUGAGAAUAAUUAUCGGGGCUGCAACGAGCUGGGCAGCCUUGUUUUCCUACCUUAGACAUUU